rnacentral:rRNA from 1 species
UAUAUGGAGAGUUUGAUCCUGGCUCAGGACGAACGCUGGCGGCGUGCUUAACACAUGCAAGUCGAGCGAUUUGGUGGUGGGUCGUUAGUGGUUAGUGGUUGGAGUAGAAGGAAUUCGC